rnacentral:lncRNA from 1 species
CCAUUUUCAUUUCUGUUACGUACUUUAUCCGACCCUCCGAUUGGAGAAGGUUUUAUUGCUUUACCUUUGUCUACUUUACUUUCCCGCACUCUCACUUUACUUUAUUUAUUUCUCGCACUGCCUUUACUUUAUUUAUUUCCCGCACUCGCACUACUUUAUUUAUUUCUCGCACUCGCACUACUUUUAUUUAUUUCUCACACUUGCACUACUUUGUU